CGAGACAAAAGAUACUAAGAAAUCCCGUGAAGAUAUGGUGGUGAUGGAUAUACGACAAGAGUUAUCCCCAAAAGAAAUAGGAAAUAAAACAUAUUUUCCCCCAGCUUGUCACACUCCAGUCUAAAAAAGAAAAAAAAUUACAAAUGUUUACAGGGUAUCAAAGUUACCCAAGGGUACUCAUCAAAUGUUAAGAAACUUGUAUCAAUGAAAGUUCUCAAAUG
rnacentral:lncRNA from 1 species